GACGAACGCUGGCGGCGUGCUUAACACAUGCAAGUCGAACGGAAAGGCCCUGCUUUUGUGGGGUGCUCGAGUGGCGAACGGGUGAGUAACACGUGAGUAACCUGCCCUUGACUUUGGGAUAACUUCAGGAAACUGGGGCUAAUACCGGAUAGGAGCUCCUGCUGCAUGGUGGGGGUUGGAAAGUUUCGGCGGCUGGGGAUGGACUCGCGGCUUAUCAGCUUGUUGGUGGGGUAGUGGCUUACCAAGGCUUUGACGGGUAGCCGGCCUGAGAGGGUGACCGGCCACAUUGGGACUGAGAUACGGCCCAGACUCCUACGGGAGGCAGCAGUGGGGAAUAUUGCACAAUGGGCGGGAGCCUGAUGCAGCAACGCCGCGUGCGGGAUGACGGCCUUCGGGUUGUAAACCGCUUUCGCCUGUGACGAAGCGUGAGUGACGGUAAUGGGUAAAGAAGCACCGGCUAACUACGUG
rnacentral:rRNA from 1 species